UUGCGUUCGAUCUUUUCUUCAGCAGUAUCAAGUUUUCGGGAAGAUCCUUCACAACAAGCAACUGUAAAUGGAGUGAUCCUUUCCUCCACUACCACUAAUGGUUAUCACCUAAUCCAACAAUACACCAAGAACCUAAAAUACAUGCAGCAAAUGAUACCCAACAGUAGAAAUAAACCAAAUGUAAAACAGUAAAACUUGGGAAAUAACCAAAUAAAACAUAAAAAAAUGAAAAAUAAAAGCAAAAAGCAUAGUAAAAC
rnacentral:lncRNA from 1 species